CUUCCAAGGCAACUUCCUCUUGAACGAGCUCCUCUUCACUGGAUGCUUCCUCACCUCCUGUUAGUGUAUCUUCACUAUCUGGGUCCAGCUGAGGAAUGACUUGUCGCUCAAAAACUGUUUUUCCACCACAUUCUGAACCAUUAGGUCUUGCAGGUAACACAUCUGAGGGGCUUUGUCCUUUAGGCCGAAGCCCUAAAGGAAGUGAUGCAAUAGGUGACUGGGUCGACAACAUUUAAGUAUGCUUUACUUUGAGGUCUCAUAUAUAUCAAAGGGGGUCUCAAAGGACGCAUACGCUUCAACCUGUGGCUCCAGCCCUACAGGAAAUGACUCAGCAAGUGCUCCAUCUCGUUGCACCUGCACCCAGCGGCUCACUUGCAAGAUUUUGGCCUGAAGUUCUUCCCAGACCUACACCCUAGCCAUCCAACACGCAUAUCUUAGAAUCAGGCUUCUCUUUAAUAAUGACAAAAAGCUAUUAGAGAAAUACACAUUCACUUUUUGUUAUCUCAUAAGCGGCGUGGUGCCGGCUCCUUUUGACCUUUUGACCCCAGACUUCAAAAACGUGGCCACAGGCCAGCUGUGACUACACACCUUAAGCCACAAAUGUACACCUCCAUCCCACAAAAAAUGGGGACUAGAAACUAACCUCUGUCUUAUGUACAUUUACCGUACUGUGGGAGGUCACGCCCCUUUUCCGGCCUUUUCGAGAUAGCUAGGGAUGCUAAAAUGUUUACACACAUUUCCCGGGGCCCCGAGAACGACAUAUCCGAGAUUUGGAGUUCUAGCCCUUAGAGAAAAAAAGUUUUCCCAAAUGGACUGUCAUUUGGACAAAGCCCCUCAGAAGUGUUACCUGCAAGACCUAAUGGUUCAGAAUGUGGUGGAAAAACAGUUUUUACGUAACGGGGCAAACAAGGUGUCCUUUGACAUCUACGUUUCGAGGCGAUUGCAACAGUGCCACACAUGAUCAUAUUUGAAUAUGUUUCGGGGUAGUAAUUAGCUGUCGAUUUUGGAGGCCUUUAUCAAUAAUGACCAGCUAUAGAUUUGCUUCCCGAUGGAGAUUUUUGACAAAUUACAUGUUAUUUAGCAUCUACACGUUAAGCUGAGUCCAAUGAGAUCAAGCUCGCCCUCUUGCUACACCGAGAUAAUGUCCUAGACCUAGGUGUACCAUGUAAAAUACAUGUUACCAUUUUCUAGAGUGUCAUGCUUGGUGUCAUUGGACUCAACUCAACGUGUAGAGCAGUCAUACUCAAGUAGCGGCCCGCGGGCCUUUUGUGGCCCGCGGGGUGUCUAUUAAUGGCCCUCGAGCUGUUUUGAAAAGUUUUUUUAAUUAUUAAAAAAAAAAAAAAAAAAAAAAAAAAAAAAUCGUGUUGGGCGCUCUUAUUUUGAAACCGCGCGCCGCGAUCUCAAUACGAGGCUGGGGGUUGCAACGAUAAACAGAUAGCACUCCAGCCCACAGACCGCUCCAGCCCUCCCAAACUCGAGGCAGACAGUCCAUCUCAGCAGCAGUCAAGGCCGAUUUAGGGUCGUUUUAGACGCAGAGACGUAAGCACGUAAUUUACACAAGGGACUUGUUUUAGACAAGUUUUGAUUUACGGUUCCUUUAAGGUUCCUUAAGGAUUGCGCGUGUUGCAAGGGGAUUCUCCGCCAGAACAGUAGGGGGAGCAACGAACGAAUCUGUGGGCGUGGAAGUGGAAAUCGCUGGCUUGUUUAUAUUUAUAAUUAUCAUAAUUCGUUCUUGUGUUUUCUUCUUCUCCUUCUUCAAAAUUCUUCAUUCGCUUCUGUCACGGCCUUUUAAAAAUGGCGCUAUUAUGCUGUAAAACCGGAAAUGUGAGACUCCUGAAAGGAUGUGGUUAGCUGGCCAAUCACAGUCUUUGCGAGCUGCGUAGGGUGUGUUUCAGUCGCAUUGUCAGGAAUUUUGGCCGACGCACUUAAGCAAGUAAGGGGGAUAUUUUACCGCGCAAGGGGGGGUUAUGUAUCUUACGUGCUUACGCGUUACGUCUAAAACUGAGCAUAUAUCGGCCUCAGUCACACGUAUACCGACCGGCCCCUUGAGUCACUGAAUUUUUUUUUUGUGGCCCCUCAUCAUUUCUACUUGAGUACCCCUGGUGUAGAGGCUAAAUAACAUGUCAUUUGUCACAAAUUUCUAUCGGGAAGCAAAUCAAUAGCUGCUCAUUAUUGAUUAAGGCCUCCAAUUUCGACAGCUAAUUACUACCAUUAAACAUGUUCGAAUAUGCUCAUGUGUGGCACCGUUGCAAUCGCCUGGAAGCGUAGAUGUUGAAGGACACCUUGUUCUCCCUCUUACGUCACCGGGAAGAUAUUUACAUGCUUUUGAUUGACUAAUGAAUUGAUUCAGCUAUUCCCCCAGAAGUCUGGGGUCAAAAGGUCAAAA
ensembl:lncRNA